rnacentral:lncRNA from 1 species
CACAACACUGCAUAAUGUAUUAGAGGCAUCAAUACAGUAUGUUGCUCAUAUUGAAUGAUAUGCUUAUACCACUGAAUUAAAAAAAAUGAAUGGGGAAAUAAAGUCAGGGGCAGGUUUUUUCAGGAACUGAUCUAAAACAAGGAGAAUGUUUCUGACAUUCUUUAUUGAAGGGAAUAGUAAUUGCAAAAUUUGUUUUAGGGGAUGCCGUCAUACUGAUCCUUUUAAAUGAGGGGGAAACCAGCAUUUGACAAAAGGCGAGACCUGCUUCUGUGGAACUGGAGAGGGACGAAGAUUGAAGCAGAAGACAAAGACCUUGUGAAGGAAGUUUACCAUCCCACUAAAGCUCUGCAGAAAAGCCGGUGGAGAUUUAACACAACCUGGAGUUGCAUUAAAUUCCGUAACUCAUUUGGACUUUAAAGGGAGGUCUAUGGAGCAGCAGCAGCAUAUUGUGAGGGAGCCGAGAGGAACCACAACAGACUUGGAGGCAAUGUAGAGGCACAGAGCCUCAUAAAAGAUUUUGUGGGACGCACAAUGGGAGGAAAGUCCUCGCCCCUUCUUCCUGAUGAAAUGAUGUGUGAGGAGCGCUGAGAGGUGCUCCUCAGUGAGUCUGCUGUAAUGCAUUAACUGUUCCCCCAUGGAUAUUUCCAGAGGAGGAGAUGUUGUAGGCAUGCAUUAACUUUUUCCUCAAGAGUCUUUAAAGCAGGGUUAACAAUAUCUCUGAACAGAUCAAAUAAUAAUACAAAAUCUUAGAGGCACGUUAUACUGGAGAAAAUCUCUAUUUUCAGUUUAUGUAAUUUAUGUCCUAGAGAACAACAAAGAAAAAUGAAAAAGCUCUCAAGAGACAAUGGGCUCCAUUCUGUCCUCACAUGCAUGGCUUAGUUACAAGUGGGCACUGGUCCAGCUUCUGUGCUCAGAGUCACAUGUGCAACUUCCUCUGACUUAAACAGAGCAUAUAUUUUUAUUGGGAGAAUUUGGUCUUUUCUGUGUACGUAAAUUACCAUGAUUUAUUUAUUAUUUGUAUUGUAGUAUAAGGAUUAGGGCCCCACUGUUCAAAGCCUCAUGAAAACAUGGACUUUUAGAAAUAGAAAUGUUACAUUCUAGGGAAGUAACAUCAUAUGAAGGUUGGGAUGAAGAAGACAAACAACUAUAUACAAUAUACAAGAUAUAUAUACAAAAAUAAUUGUUUUGCUAACUAAAUGCAUGUGUAUUUAGAUUUGUA